CAGUAGCCGCGGUAAUACGAAGGGGGCUAGCGUUGUUCGGAUUUACUGGGCGUAAAGCGCACGUAGGCGGAUCGAUCAGUCAGGGGUGAAAUCCCAGAGCUCAACUCUGGAACUGCCUUUGAUACUGUCGAUCUGGAGUAUGGAAGAGGUGAGUGGAAUUCCGAGUGUAGAGGUGAAAUUCGUAGAUAUUCGGAGGAACACCAGUGGCGAAGGCGGCUCACUGGUCCAUUACUGACGCUGAGGUGCGAAAGCGUGGGGAGCAAACAGGAUUAGAUACCCGCGUAGUCCCUGUCUCUUAUAC
rnacentral:rRNA from 1 species